CAGGUCUGGUCAGCUGAUAUUUGAUCCAGGUCUGGUCAGUUGAUAUUUGAUCCAGGUCUGGUCAGUUGAUAUUUGAUCCAGGUCUGGUCAGUAGUCAGUUGAUAUUUGAUCCAGGUCUGGUCAGUGGUCAGUCAGUAAUGUAACAGUGAAGACAUAUCUAACAGUAAAAGUCUUGGACAGGAGGAGUGUGUUGUUUGGAAAAAGGACUUCCCAGAACGUCUGUGAUUGUCAUUUCUCUUCUUCGUUUUGUUCUACUUCCUGUAUCACACGGGAACAGCCAAUCAGUUCAUGCGUUGCAGUAACGAUGACGACUAGUGAAUAGUCUAGAAUCUUCCUCUGUGUUUGGGCUGGUGAUGACGUCGCCCAAGAGAGAUGCAGCCCAACCUGAAUACAUGUUAGUGUGAGACUGAGCGUGUUGCCACGACAACAACCUCCACUGUGUUCCUGUGGAUUUUACACAUCAAGGUAUUAAUGCGUAGACUUGAUGCAUGGCUUCAUGGUGAAUCCAUUACCUACAAAGCUAUGACAAAGUGUUUGUCUCACACACACACACACACACACACACACACACACUACCCUUUUGACACACAUCCCUCAGCAAAUUCAGGUCCUUGAGUUUUAGUGUUUUGUGAGUUUUAUUGCUGAAAAAAAAUGCAUCUGUUAUUGUGGUGUUAUUUCCACAUCACUGAUAUACAACCAGCCCAAAGAAUGUAACGGUGGAAGAGGUUAAAGGAUGUACCUUGUUUGACUGGUGUCCCAAAUGACAACCUAUUUCCUAUAUAGUGCACUACGUUUUGUCCAGAGCUGGUCUAAAGUAGUGCACUAUGUGUAUGAAACAGGGUGGGACGGCGCCAUUCUGCUGUAGAAGAGAAACAGGCUUGUGUGAUGAAGUGGUUCAAUCAUGUUCCAUUCAAUAGUAUGAGAAUCGAGUUCUGAAAUUCUAUGUUCUGAUUCUAUGAUUCCGUUGUUCCGAUGUUGCUGUAACAAGCAGCUCUGUUUGGACUAUUCUGAAUGUUGGACCUGAACAGUGUUUCUUUACCAUUGACAGACUGAAACCCAACUGUUAUUUCACCAAUACACACCGCGGUGGUUUCUAGAACUAACUGUUAUUUCACCAAUACACACUGUGGUGGUUUCUAGAACUAACUGUUAUUUCACCAAUACACACCGCGGUGGUUUCUAGAACUAACUGUUAUUUCACCAAUACACACCGCGGUGGUUUCUAGAACUAACUGUUAUUUCACCAAUACACACUGUGGUGGUUUCUAGAACUAACUGUUAUUUCACCAAUACACACCGCGGUGGUUUCUAGAACUAACUGUUAUUUCACCAAUACACACCGCGGUGGUUUCUAGAACUAACUGUUAUUUCACCAAUACACACCGCGGUGGUUUCUAGAACUAACUGUUAUUUCACCAAUACACACCGUGGUGGUUUCUAGAACUAACUGUUAUUUCACCAAUACACACUGUGGUGGUUUCUAGAACUAACUGUUAUUUCACCAAUACACACCGCGGUGGUUUCUAGAACUAACUGUUAUUUCACCAAUACACACUGUGGUGGUUUCUAGAACUAACUGUUAUUUCACCAAUACACACCGCGGUGGUUUCUAGAACUAACUGUUAUUUCACCAAUACACACCGUGGUGGUUUCUAGAACUAACUGUUAUUUCACCAAUACACACCAUGGUGGUUUCUAGAACUAACUGUUAUUUCACCAAUACACACCGUGGUGGUUUCUAGAAAUCCUGCUAGUUUACUGGUUAAAAACCAGCUCAGAAACCUCACUUACCAGGUAACACCAACUAGUUUACUGUACAUUUACCAGGUAAUCCCAACUAGUUUUAAUGUACAUUUACCAGGUAAUCCCAACUAGUUUACUGUACACUUACCAGGUAAUCCCAACUAGUUUUAAUGUACACUUACCAGGUAAUCCCAACUAGUUUUAAUGUACCCUUACCAGGUAAUCCCAACUAGUUUUAAUGUACCCUUACCAGGUAAUCCCAACUAGUUUUAAUGUACCCUUACCAGGUAAUCCCAACUAGUUUUAAUGUACAUUUACCAGGUAAUCCCAACUAGUUUUAACGUACAUUUACCAGGUAAUCCCAACUAGUUUUAAUGUACAUUUACCAGGUAAUCCCAACUAGUUUUAACGUACAUUUACCAGGUAAUCCCAACUAGUUUUAAUGUACAUUUACCAGGUAAUCCCAACUAGUUUUAACGUACAUUUACCAGGUAAUCCCAACUAGUUUUAACGUACAUUUACCAGGUAAUCCCAACUAGUUUUAAUGUACCCUUACCAGGUAAUCCCAACUAGUUUUAACGUACAUUUACCAGGUAAUCCCAACUAGUUUUAACGUACAUUUACCAGGUAAUCCCAACUAGUUUUAACGUACAUUUACCAGGUAAUCCCAACUAGUUUUAAUGUACCCUUACCAGGUAAUCCCAACUAGUUUUAAUGUACCCUUACCAGGUAAUCCCAACUAGUUUACUGUACAUUUACCAGGUAAUCCCAACUAGUUUUAAUGUACCCUUACCAGGUAAUCCCAACUAGUUUACUGUACAUUUACCAGGUAAUCCCAACUAGUUUUAAUGUACACUUACCAGGUAAUCCCAACUAGUUUUAAUGUACCCUUACCAGGUAAUCCCAACUAGUAUACUGUACAUUUACCAGGUAAUCCCAACUAGUAUACUGUACAUUUACCAGGUAACUCCAACUAGUGUUAAUGGGACUCUGCUGACGUGCAUUUCCUCUUCCUGUCACCAGCUGUGUCCUCCCUCUCUCCCAAAGCAACAUGGAAACACAGUGUUUCCUGUAUUCUCAACCCUUCUCCUCCCGCUCUCCCUCGGUCAAUAUGAAAAUAAAACCCGAUUUACAAAUGUA